rfam:Rhizoctonia solani AG-1 IB, isolate 7/3/14, WGS project CAOJ01000000 data, contig: 17381
GGUUGGCUAGCUCAGUUGGUUAGAGCGUCGAGCUAAUAUCACAAUGUAACUCGAAGGUCAUGGGUUCGACCCCCCUGCUGACCA